GACAAUUCAGUACAAUAUUUUUUCUCGCACGUUAUCACGUCCGCUGAAAAUUAAAGUAGAUACUCCUUAAAAUUUGAAAGGACAUACCCCUGCCUACAAGAGGAGUUUAUAUAAGUAAUUUUCAGCGAUGAUAUGCUGAAGUAGAUUACAUCAUAUGACAGUGGAACAACAGUACAUUAGGCAGCCGCAAUGAAGGACGCUAAGCAAGCCAUAAAGACAUGAUGCCAACGAAGGACAAGGACAAGCGUAUGAAUUCUUAGUCAAACAAGUCUUUGGACAGCGCCUUAGUGCCGACAGUAGAUCCAGAAAACCCUUAGCCCUUGCAAACAGACACCUCCUCUGUACUUCUUUUGUCCUGUACACCGAUCUUAAAAACGUCGCCGCAAGUGAUCGUCGACAAGAAUCCAAUGCCACCACCAAAUUCAUCUAGGAUAGUCAAGCCCCGCCGAUAACCCAACAAUUACAAGGUGAAACAGGAGCCGAUAGAACGCAGCAACUUCUGACACCAUCCCCAUCAUAUGCCAUUUCUAGUCCAUGAGAAGAGUGCCAACCUAACGCCCACGAAACCAAGAGCCAUUGAUCUUAAACGAGAGAUAGCCAAGGAGCAGAUAAAGCCCUGAUGUCCAGGAAGGUGCAUCAAAUCGUGUCUCCCGGAGAAUGAUUGGCAGACUAGCUCCACAUUUCACCUUGAGGAUGUCAUUGACAGAAACAUGUCAAAAUACCCUUUAAUAACUAGCCGAAAGCAGGUACAGUGUCUUCAGCAUUUCGUCUCCCUCAGCCGUGGUCAUGGCAAACACUUGGAUCAUCCCGACUCGUAGAGUCUAGCUGACACUCCGGGCAUUUCCUUAUUCACAUAUUAGACGAAAUUCAUUUCACGAAGGAGUGGUUCUGAGGAUAGUGCGCAGACCUCACUAAAUUUCUGCAAAUUUACGGUCCAAGGUUAGUUGGCACCGUAAAAGUAACGUAAGCAUAUGAGUGUAAGAGCCUUGAAAUUCACCAUUUCGAUAGUCUUCGUCACGAUAUCGCUUUGGGCUUCGGCCAACAUUGCGCUACUUCUUCAGUUGAUAAUCAUCACAAUGCCAUUGACUCAUAUCCAGCCUAUCUGAUAUCGCACUUCGAUCACAGCUGACAUAGAUGUUGGGCAUAUAUGUCGGGUGUGAUCGAAGUGCGACAUGAACAAUGAAAUGCCCGAAAUGACGGCUAAACUUUUUGAAUCGGGAAUGAUGCCAGUGUUUCCCAUGACCACGGCUGAGGCGGAUGAAGUGUUGAAGAAACUGUUCCGGCUUUCGGCUAGUUAGUA